GCCCGGCACCGCCCUCUGCCCCCAGCGCAGUCCGCGCCCUGCUCCCGCGGGCUCCCGCCCGGCGAUGUCCUCCAACCUCAGGCCAACUGAGCUCGGGCCGCGGCGACCUCCGCCCGCGCACAGCAGCACCUGCCGGCCACCCCGAGAAGGGGCGGGCUCCCAGGACGACCAGGCUGCGCGGCCCGCGCUGGGGAGAACGAGCAUCCGAGGGCCGGGCGCGUCCCCCGCGGGCCUCCCCCUCUGCAAGCCGGGCGCAGCAAAGAACCAGGGUGCCGGCGGUUCGGCGUGGGUCAGGGGUCUCAGAGCCGGGGGGCUGCACCGUCCGGGGGCCGGCCGGGAGGACGUGCGAGGCAGGGGCCGAGCCGAGGUCCCCGCCGGGCGCCGCGUGGGGUCGGCGCGGAGAGUCGUGCUCGCGGAGAGCACACGCCUCCUCCAGCAGCGGGACACGCGGCGCUCUUUCCUUAAAAGUCCCACGGGCAAGGCAACGAGACGUUUCCUGACCUCGCCAGGCCGGGACGGAAGCGACGGGAAGGAAGCGACGCGCAUUUUCAUCAGAACGUCAAUCUGUCCUGGGCAAGCCGGGUGCCUGCGGCGCCUGGAACCUUCCUGCGCCCCCUCCUCUUAUCCUGUGUCGAGGCUGCCCGGGCCCCCUCCUGCCCAGGCCCCCUCCUGCCCAGGCCCUGGAGACACAUUUUUGCAGGCCCUUCUCAGAAAGACCACCUCCCCGCCUCAAAACGGGAACCUCCCGCAGAGUUCCUUGGCCUCUUUCCUUGCUAAGGGUUCCCGAGUCUUGGGAGACCAGAGAUUCACAUUUAAAUGUUAACAAUCCCCAGUUUCUCACUCUCUGCCCCCGUAACCUAAUUCUCGGUAACAUGUGAGCGCAUCGCCUGUGUGCGCUCACCUUCCACCUUCCGGGCACCCGGGGCCCCUGAGGAGGGGGCUCGGGAAGGAAGGGGUUGUCCCGAGGGCGGGUGGCAGAGAAGAGGUUCCGAGGGGCAGGAAGACCUGACCCAGGAGAGGAUGGAAGCGACGGAGGAGAGAGGCUGAGUAAAGCCUGGAGUGGCCGCUGUGGGAGAAAGUCAGCGGGUUUCAACUUUAAGCAUCCUUAUCUCAGGAAGAAGGCAAAGGGAUGUAAGCAGUGAGGAACAGGAGAAAUCUGAGAGAAACAGGCAGGCUUGGGCGGGGUGGUCGAACCCCAACAGCUGCCUCCUGGUGGCCACAGAAGGAGAAAGAGGAAAGUCAGGGCAGAGUUUUCCCCAGAAAACAGAAGUCAGACCGUGUGAGUUCCAGCAGUCUCUACAUGAAAUUGGCCACACAAAAGAUUAGGAAAUCUGCGUGGAAAGGAAUCUUCAGAGAAUGCGACCAGGGCACAUCUCUGUUUUAAAACCAUCUUCCUACCACAAGCUUGUCUCUACAUUCAAAAUUCAUGGAAAUGGAAAGACUGAAGUCAUCAUGUCCCUACAUGAAUUUUCGGAUAUCAUCAGAAAAAUAAGAACAAUGAGGACUGGCAAGAUGGCAUCCUAUGUUGAUGGGUGCUAAUUUAAUUUAAAAAAAUGAGGAAAGGAGGGCAGGCAGGCAUCAGGCAAAUACUGCUUACACUGAGUAUGUACAUUUAAGCCAUUUUACCGUGACCUUGUAUUGGAAAAGGAAGAGACAAUAGUAAAAAUUUAUGUUAAAUGCAGAGGGACAAAGUAGAAUGGUGGGCACCAGGGGUUGGGGGAGGGGAGGCUGGGGAGCUAGUGUUCAGUGGGGACAGACUUUCAGUUUAGGAAAAUGGAAAAGUUCUGGAGAUGGAUGGUGGUGAUGGUUGCACAACAACGUGAGUGUGCUUAAUGCCACUCAACUGGACACCUACAAAUGGUUACACCAUAAAUUUUAUGUUAUGCAUGUUUUACCACAAUAAAAAAAUAAUGUAUGUUAAAAGCUUUAUAUCAUAAGAAAAUAGCCAAGUCAAUCUUGGGAUAUCUACCUUACGGCAUCCUGUCCAGCUAUAAAAAUGGUGUUUAUGAUAAGUUUGUAAUGGAAUGCAAAAUGCUUAUGACAGUGUUGAGUGCACACACGUGGGUACAUACAACCCCCAAUAAUGUCUAUGCAAAAAUAAACAACAACAAAGACCCUGAGGAAAUACAUCAAAAUAGAGCCACGUUUGUCUUUAGGUUAUCAUGAGGAUACAGAUAACUUUUUGUUUCCUUCUGGUUUUCUGACAUUGUCUCUAUGAGCAUGUAUUAUUUUUAAAGGGGGGAGCAUAACUCAAAGUUCAUUUUCCUCCAUAACUUUAUUUAAAAGGAAAGGAAGGAAGAACAGAAAGAAAAACCUCUGUGUUUUGUGUUCCCAGCUGCUUUUAAACCUAACCCAGGAAAGUGCGAUUCAUUAGGCUGGCUGCCCCUCUGUGCACUGCAUGCCCUAGGCAGGCUGGGGAAGCUGGUGGCCAUGCUCAGAAUAAUAUUUUUAAGUGCUUAAAACAAAGUAUACACGGUUACAAAGGAACUGGGUUCUUCUGAAAUACAUUAUCAAAAUAUAUUUUUAAAUCGUGAUACAGUGUACCAACCAGAGUCCAGUCAGGAGAAAAGAAAGUACACCAGUUAUGUUAAUGGAACUAAUUUAACACAGGGACCCAACGAGUAGGUGCUGGAUGGCUGAGAAGGCAAAGGAGGAUCAAGUAACACAGAGGUAAUAAUUUUGGGAACAGCGAGGGCUGGGGGAGCAAAGGGCUGGGUUAUUGCACCCCAAAGGCUCUGGCGGGGGGUGAGACCUCUGAGCAGGGGGCUUCAGAAUCUCUGACAGGGCUCCACGACGGUGGUUUCUGAGAGAGAGCGUGAAAACACCAGAAACGGAACCAGCUGCGGCUGCCGGGGUGAGGAGCAGUUGCUGGGUGAUGCUCGCAGAAACAGGAAGCCCACAGGGAGCAGCGGGUUCUGUCUCCUUCUUCCGGCCCCAGGGGCUCCCUCUAGCGCCCGUCAGCAGAGCCGAGGGGAGAUGAGGUGUGCAGAGCCCCAAGGGAGGACUCCGAGCCGAGCGGCAACAGCUUAAUAACCAGCCCGUGUCUGGCUUCCUUACGAUGCAUCAAAGGGCAGGAGCUGACAUCUCCCUAAUAUCGACAUAGUGAUGUGCAUUGUCCCCAGCUGUCUGCAGCCACUAUAAGGUGACCCGAAAAUAGCUGGGAUUUCUAUUGGUGACAAAGUCACAUACUUCUAACAGUACUGAAGUUUUUGGCCUACAUUCAUAAUUGGAGGUAAUGCUUCUCUUUUUUCCUAUCUAGUUUCAGGGAUCUCUUGAAAUCUAACCAAGGCCCUUGGGGGAUUUGUGGACCAAAGGUUAAGAAUCCUUCUGAGUCUGUCAAGAUGUCAACUACAGUUCUUCGUUUUCCUUAAGUUUUGCUUUAAAAAGUCACAUGAUUGAUCAUUGACAACAGGGUUUUUUUUAUGCUUUGAAAGAGAAAAUAAUACUCAUGCAAAUUCAUGCUUUUGUGCAUCUCAUUUAAAUGAUACUAUCCAACCCUCUUGCAAAUAAUAAAUAGUAAGUUUUGCAUUUUA